rnacentral:rRNA from 1 species
AGCAGCCGCGGUAAUUCCAGCUCCAAUAGCGUAUAUUAAAGUUGUUGCAGUUAAAAAGCUCGUAGUUGAACUUCGGGAUCAAUGGAUCGGUCAUGCCAUCGGUAUGUACUGGUCUCAUUGGUUCUCACCUUCUAAGGAACCAUAAUGUCAUUCAUUUGAUGUUUUGGGGAAUUAGGACUGUUACCUUGAAAAAUUAGAGUGUUUAAAGCAGGCUAACGCUUGAAUACAUUAGCAUGGAAUAAUGAAAUAGGACAUCGCAUUCUAUUUUGUUGGUUUCUAGGAUCGAUGUAAUGAUUAAUAGGGAUAGUUGGGGGCAUUAGUAUUCAAUUGUCAGAGGUGAAAUUCUUGGAUUUAUUGAAGACUAACUACUGCGAAAGCAUUUGCCAAGGAUGUUUUCAUUAAUCAAGAACGAAAGUUAAGGGGAUCGAAGACGAUCAGAUACCGUCGUAGUCUUAACCAUAAACUAUAGCCGACUAGGGAUCGGAUGAUGUUAAUUUUUAAUAGUACU